rnacentral:lncRNA from 1 species
GGAAAAUUAAGUGCAGGUGCUGGGACCCAGCCCAGGGACUGUAGUCAGAGCUGGCAGGUUUCAGCGUGCUUCCAGCCCCCAAAGCCAGGAAAGAUGGUUUGAUCCCAGCCCCGUGGGGAAGGGUGUGUGCCUGCUUCUCCACAGCUAAUAAACAUCAAGAGGUUGCUUGCAGAAGGAGGCUGUUUCCUUAGAGAGAUGCAUAAAAAUGAUCUGUACCAGAAUGGCAGUGCUGAGGUCAUGUUAUCCUGGUGGGAUGGAAGCAGAACAUGCUGGCAUGUUGUCCACCAAACUGAGACCUGUGUUUGGGACCUGGCCUACGAGCAGCACCCAGCAUCAGGCCCUUGUGCCCACGGGAGCUGGAAGUGUCCCCCUGUACUGAUGUGGAGGUGCCUACAAGGAGCCAUGUGCAAAAAGCAGUGGAUGUUUGCAGCCAAGGCAGGAGAAACUGGAAGUGCUAAUUUAGUCGCUGCUGCAUUUCUGAUCAAAGGAGCUCGGAGUCACGAGAAAAAUCUCCUUUAGAGCACAACUUAAUAUGGUUACCACUUGUCAAGUUUUUCCAAUAAGAAAAUUAUCCAUUUUUUAUUUAAAACAUUUUCAUACCAGGUUAUGCAAAGAAGAUUUACAGGAACUGAGUAUCUGUCUGCAAACCUGCUAGUUUCUUAAUAACACAGCUGACUUGAUGGCUUUCAUGCAGAAGAAUAGAGAAGUGAUGCCCUCCGGUGUAACUAGCGCUACCUAUCUGGUACUUCAGAUUGGAGGUGAUUUUGCCAGACUUGGAUCUAAGCCCUGUCCCACUGGUUUUGGUGUCUCUCUCCAUGCAGAUUUAUCCAGUGAUUAAUGGAAAAAUGCAUUAAAAAUACUCCUCGGUGUAUUUCAGAGUAUGAAGUCCCCACCUCACUGGGGUACAAGUCUGGCUCUUGCUUAAAUUCUUGCUCUCUAGACCAUUAAUUUUGCCUUUAGCAAUUGCACAGUUUCAACUGGCAGUGCUAAAGGUACCCAUACCCAGCUUUCCUACAAACCUGUCUUUCCCUUUCUACAGUCUAUUUCCCCAUUUAUCUCACCUAUGCCAUAAUUAGUAGCACAGUCUCCUAAAAAUUGGGAACAAAAGGUUUAAACCUACCUUACACUGACGUGGGCAUCAUUCCCAUACCUCCAAGUCCCUGAUCAGGAGUUUUAGGCUACUACAUGAAAGGCAAGCUUCAGCUGAUACUACCUGUAUCAAGCAGGAAAAAUACAGCGACUACUGUGUCCUGUGGUGUCAGUUCUCCUGCUGUCAGUCAGCAUUGGCAUGUUAUAAAUUGCUGCAUUUAUUGAGGCUGAAGGGCCUUUUACAUAGGUCUAAUAGAAAAGGAGAUGGAUCCUAUUCAGGCCAAAAUACAGAUUUCUCCAUAGUGGAUCAAGCUGCUAAGUUUGAAGAUGAAGACACUUCAAAAGUUACAUGAAACUCCACAAAACAGAAUUGGAGGACAGCUUUUCCAGGCCCCUCAUCUGAAAAUGUGAGGUUUCAGG